rnacentral:rRNA from 1 species
CCUACGGGCGGCAGCAGUGAGGAAUAUUGGUCAAUGGGCGCGAGCCUUAACCAGCCAAGUAGCGUGAAGGAUGACUGCCCUACGGGUUGUCAACUUCUUUUAUAAAGGAAUAAAGUGAGGCACGUGUGCCUUUUUGUAUGUAUUUUAUGAUUAAGGAUCGGCUAACUCCGUGCCAGCAGCCGCGGUAAUACGGAGGAUCCGAGCGUUAUCCGGUUUUCUUGGGUUUAAAGGGAGCGUAGGCGGGUUGUUCAGUCAGUUGUGAAAGUUUGCGGCUCAACCGUAAAAUUGCAGUUGAUACUGGCAUCCUUGAGUACAGUAGAGGUAGGCGGAAUUCGGGGUGUAGCGGUGAAAUGCUUAGAUAUCACGAAGAACUCCGAUUGCGAAGGCAGCCGGCUGGACUGUAACUGACGCUGAUGCUCGAAAGUGUGGGUAUCAAACAGGAUUAGAUACCCUUGUAGUC